rnacentral:rRNA from 1 species
UACGUAGGUGACAAGCGUUAUCCGGAUUUACUGGGCGUAAAGGGCGUGUAGGCGGUCUUGCAAGUCAGAAGUGAAAUUCCUGAGCUCAACUCGGGCGCUGCUUCUGAAACUGCAGGACUUGAGUGCUGGAGGGGAUAGCGGAAUUCCUAGUGGAGCGGUAAAAUGCGCAGAUAUUAGGAAGAACACCGGUGGCGAAGGCGGCUAUCUGGACAGUAACUGACGCUGAGGCGCGAAAGCGUGGGGAGCAAACAGG